UGGAAACAGUCGAACACAGUGUGGACACUUUUGUUUGACUGGUAAUAUGAAUUGUCUAUUUGUUUAUUUAUUUUCCUAUAUAUUGCAAAGAUACAUCACGCAGACGUUGUUUCUUUCUUCGCACAUCUAUUCAUAGCCCUAGUCAUGGUGAAUGAGCCGGGAUCAUGUGCUGCUGGAAGAGCCCUGCAUCUUUAUUCUGGAGAAUGAAGAGAUGUACAGGAACCCAACUGAAGUAAAGAUGAGCCAGAUAGUCCUUCCCUGCCAUGCAAACUACUUGUGGAGAACUCAGUGCUGGGCAGCUCCUAAAGUGGACUGACUCCACCGCCUGCCUGUCUGCUGAAAGACAUGCUGGCUGCUCCUGCAUCACAGCCUCAGUGGAUGACAUUCAAUUUGAAACCACCAUAGG